GAAAAAUUUAGUUGCUCUAUAAAACUUUAAUAAACUUACAUGACUCAAAAGUGUGUGGCCAAAAUAAUUUUACUCAGAGUAUUAUAAAAAAAAAAAAAUGUCUAAGUUGAUGCUAAUAAUUUUCAUAGGAUUGUUGUCUGUUGUUGUUAUGACUAACUCACAACCAUCAAGUUAUUGUCUUGGUUGGGCAUCUGUGUGUUCUACGAUAAAUGAUAAAUGUUGUCAGAAUCUCGAGUGUCAAGGAUGGUUACUCGGCUCAUGUGGUAUGGCACCAAUUGAAAAACAGCAACAUUUUUAUACAUAACUCCAACAAGUAUAAAAAUCAAACACUCUACUAUUCAUCAUUAGAAAUAAAAUUUACUCUAUUAUUAUUGCUGAUAAGCUCUAUUGUAUCUAAUUUUCAUGUACUAAAUUAUUAUUUUUAUGUAUAUAUAUGUUUAUUCAUCAUUUUUUUUUUUUCUAAUUUUCUCUAUGAAUAUUUAUGUCAAUAUUAAUAAUAAUUAUUAUAUAAAUAUAUAUUUAUGUAUGGUCAUAAUAAAAAUUAAGUAAAAAAUAUUGUAUUACUCA